rnacentral:tRNA from 1 species
GUCGGGGUAGCUUAAGUUAAAGCUGUCGAUUUUUGAUCGACUGAUGGGGUGUCCUUCUCGGUG